AUAAUAUGUAAUCAUGUAAUCCAUAAAAAAUAAGUGUAGUCUGCUUACGAGUAUUUUAAAAUAUAAUUAAAUCAAAUUACUUAAUUUUUAGAAUCGGAUUACGUAAUCCAUAUUACAUGUAAUCAGUUACUACCCAGCUCUGAUUAACAAAUGAACAGAACAGUGAAAGAAACUACAUAUCUUUCAAAAACUGCACAGACGAGUCACUGUGAGGCUGCGUCACAUUCCUCUCUCCACAAGAUGGCAGUAAAUGAUUAUUUACCCAGUUCUUCUCUCUUCGGGUUUCAGCUUUUAGCAACAAAACACAAUCUGACUAAUCACUUGUAAAUUAGAUGGAUUAUUUUGUGGAUUAUCUUCUGUGGAUUAAGUCCUUCUGUCUACUUCUAGAAGAAACAUUUCUGGCAGUUUGUGAGGACGUUUGGACUUUAAAACGAGUUUACAGUGAAACUCUACUGCAGAUUGAAGCACAAAGAAGAUGGAUGGCUGUUACAGGCGAUCAAAGACAGAAUGAAAAAGGAAUGACACAGCUGGAUCAGGAAGGUGUGGAAAGCACACACACACACACACACUCACACACACACACACAAACACACACACACACACACACACACACAAACAUCUCUUGUACUGGAAACAAGAAAAGAUUGAGAAUAUCUUAAGAACAGAAAUAAAGAAAUAAAUAAAACAAGCUGAAAGAUGUGUGACAGCAGCACACUGUGCAAAAAAAAUAAAAUAAAUAAAUAACAUGCCACUUCCUGACAUGCCUUUGGAUUUGAUCUUCUGACACAGCUUGGAAAAUCUGUCUAAAAUGACGCAUGCUAUCUCGCAUCAGCGUUUGAUCGUCGGUUCAGAGACUAUUAUUAAAGUGAUCUCUAAAUGUGACACAUCAGCUACGUAAACUGAAGACGCAUUGAGUAUGAAAGAACUCUUCACAAAAUGAAAAUAUUUGGAUGAGGAUUACAGUGUUUGUGUGGCAAUGAUGCAUUGAUAUUCUUCAAACGUUCUGGAUUGGGUUUAUUCAAAACCUGAGUAUUCAACUACUGCAAAUAAUUCAACGCUUAACAUACAGACUCCAUUCAGACUUUAUUUUCUUUACUUUUUGGUUUUAGCUAUUGUGAUGCUUUUAAAGAAAUUUAAGAAUUGACUUACAGUAUAUUGUUUGCCAUGCAAAAUGUAAUUGACAACGUCAUUGUUGAAUUUGGACACUGAAUAUUCUUGUUGGUCUUCUUUGCACACUAAAUUAUGAUUGGUAUUUUUUUUUUUUUUGCUGAUUUGCUGCUCAACAAACAUUUAUAUUAUUACCAGUGUUGAAAACAGUUGUGCUGCUUCAUAUUUUUGUGGAAACUCUGAU
ensembl:lncRNA